GAGGACUGCUCUUCACAUUGCAGCGUGUCGAGGCUUCCAAGAUAUAGUGAAAGAGAUCAUUUCUAAAUGCCCAGGUUGCAGCGAACUUACUGACAAAAGAGGCUGGAAUGUUCUUCACUAUGCAGUGAUCAGCAAAAAUGAUGAAGUAAUAAAAGCAGUGCUCCGUCAAGGUUCAUCAUUUAUUUACCUUUUAGAUGGGAAAGAUGUUAAAGGGAAUACGCCUAUCCAUCUAUAUAGGGCUUAUCAUCCUGAAUUCUGUGUUCCUUCUUUCAUAAAAGAAGGAGAGACUGAAGAAAAUCAAAAAGGAGAAGGAGAUGCUGCAAUGUUCGAGUUUUGGAGAAAACUGGACCAUAAAAUUCAAUUCUCAGGAAGCUUAUCCUCAAAGAAGCAAGAAAAUUUAAAAUUGAUGAAAGACCUUGGCACUGGACCACUGGGGAAAAUUGAUCCAACACCACGGAAGGAAUUUCUGAAGGAAUUUCCGAAGGAAUGUCUGAAGGAAUUUCUGAAGGAAAAAGAAGAAAAGAGGAAAAAAGAUAUGGCAAAAAAAUUUGAACAAGUCAAAGAGUCUCAUUUGGUGGCUGCGGCACUUAUCGCAACAGUAGCCUUUGCUGCAGCGUUCACUUCACCUGGCGGUUAUAUAAGUGAUGAAAAUAAUUUGAAAAAGGGGACUCCUAUCCUAAGCGGGAAUCCAGCUUUUAAAGCAUUUAUCAUAU
rnacentral:misc_RNA from 1 species